UCGAUUUGGAGUUUGUUGCCCUGAGUGAUGGGCUCCGAAGCUAACGCGAUAAAUCGACCGCCUGGGGAGUACGGCCGCAAGGUUAAAACUCAAAUGAAUUGACGGGGGCCCGCACAAGCGGUGGAGCAUGUGGUUUAAUUCGAUGCAACGCGAAGAACCUUACCUGGUCUUGACAUCCACAGAAUCUUGCAGAGAUGCGAGAGUGCCUUCGGGAACUGUGAGACAGGUGCUGCAUGGCUGUCGUCAGCUCGUGUUGUGAAAUGUUGGGUUAAGUCCCGCAACGAGCGCAACCCUUAUCCUUUGUUGCCAGCGAUUAGGUCGGGAACUCAAAGGAGACUGCCGUUGAUAAAGCGGAGGAAGGUGGGGACGACGUCAAGUCAUCAUGGCCCUUACGACCAGGGCUACACACGUGCUACAAUGGCGUAUACAAAGGGAGGCGACCUCGCGAGAGCAAGCGGACCUCAUAAAGUACGUCUAAGUCCGGAUUGGAGUCUGCAACUCGACUCCAUGAAGUCGGAAUCGCUAGUAAUCGUGAAUCAGAAUGUCACGGUGAAUACGUUCCCGGGCCU
rnacentral:rRNA from 1 species